GUUACGAAGGGAAUCUCUAGGAGUAUAUGUUCUGAGGAAGAAUCAUGUCCCCAUAAAAUGGGUGUAUUAUAUGUGUUAGAUAAGGCUUUGGAGAUGACCAUUAGAAUAGUUCUUCCCUUAGCAAGAUAGGUUAGUGACCAUGUUUGUAUCUAUUUUAACACAAUUAUGGUUCACAAUUAUGUUUUUUUGUUUGAAAAGUCAGGUACUGCUUGCUCGCAACAGCAUAGUUAUAACAUACAAUCAUUGAUCACAUUGCUUGGCUUGCAUAGUUACAAGUGUGUGCUCUAGAUAUUUACAUAGUAAUAGUAGAACUUAUUAGAUUAUUAGAUCAUAUGGUUACAUAACAAAAUCAUGUGGUUAAGUGAUUUGUUUAGCUUCCUUUUACUAAACCGGUCAUGUAUAUAUAUAGAAACUUGUACAUUGUAAACAUUGAGUUUGAGUAAAUACAUUUUCACAUUUUUGAUCUGUAACUAACUUUGAGUCAUCUUCUUCAACAAGCUCAAGCUCUAAUAUGGUAUCAGAGAAGUGAAUCUUCGCUUUCUCGCUUCUUUUUCUCGGUGAUUCUUGUUGAUUCCGAAGCUCGAUGAGUUUUCCUCUCCGAGAUUUGGUGAAUCAUUUCGUCGAGCUGUGUUCUCUUGAAGUUUUUGCGAUCUAUCAGUUCUUCUCGGUGACAAUCGCACUUCUGAUUUCGUUCUUUGCUUUUCUUUGACCUUUGAUUUGCGUUUCUCUUCUCAUGCAAUCGAUUUCUCUGUUUCUUGAUAUCGAUUACUUGGUUUGAUGGCGACGAUACCGGAGGUUCGUAAUCCGUCUCUGUCAGGUGAGAAUCG
rnacentral:lncRNA from 1 species